GAUGAACGCUAGCGAUAGGCUUAACACAUGCAAGUCGAGGGGCAGCAUGGUCUUAGCUUGCUAAGACUGAUGGCGACCGGCGCACGGGUGCGUAACGCGUAUGCAACUUGCCUCACAGAGGGGGAUAACCCGUCGAAAGACGGACUAAUACCGCGUACACUUGGGAUAGGGCAUCCUGACCCAAGGAAAUGAAAUUCGCUGUGAGAUAGGCAUGCGUCCCAUUAGCUAGUUGGUGAGAUAACGGCUCACCAAGGCGACGAUGGGUAGGGGAACUGAGAGGUUGACCCCCCACACUGGUACUGAGACACGGACCAGACUCCUACGGGAGGCAGCAAUGAGGAAUAUUGGUCAAUGGGCGAGAGCCUGAACCAGCCAAGUCGCGUGAAGGAUGACUGUCUUAUGGAUUGUAAACUUCUUUUAUACGGGAAUAACAAGAGCCACGUGUGGCUCCCUGCAUGUACCGUAUGAAUAAGCAUCGGCUAGCUCCGUG
rnacentral:rRNA from 1 species